CUAGUUGGUAAGGUAACGGCUUACCAAGGCUACGAUGGGUAGGGGUCCUGAGAGGGAGAUCCCCCACACUGGUACUGAGACACGGACCAGACUCCUACGGGAGGCAGCAGUGAGGAAUAUUGGACAAUGGGCGCAAGCCUGAUCCAGCCAUGCCGCGUGCAGGAUGACGGUCCUAUGGAUUGUAAACUGCUUUUAUACGAGAAGAAACACUCCUUCGUGAAGGAGCUUGACGGUAUCGUAAGAAUAAGGAUCGGCUAACUCCGUGCCAGCAGCCGCGGUAAUACGGAGGAUCCAAGCGUUAUCCGGAAUCAUUGGGUUUAAAGGGUCCGUAGGCGGUUUAAUAAGUCAGUGGUGAAAGCCCAUCGCUCAACGGUGGAACGGCCAUUGAUACUGUUAGACUUGAAUUAUUAGGAAGUAACUAGAAUAUGUAGUGUAGCGGUGAAAUGCUUAGAGAUUACAUGGAAUACCAAUUGCGAAGGCAGGUUACUACUAAUUGAUUGACGCUGAUGGACGAAAGCGUGGGUAGCGAACAGGAUUAGAUACCCUGGUAGUCCACGCCGUAAACGAUGGAUACUAGCUGUUGGAAGCAAUUUCAGUGGCUAAGCGAAAGUGAUAAGUAUCCCACCUGGGGAGUACGUUCGCAAGAAUGAAACUCAAAGGAAUUGACG
rnacentral:rRNA from 1 species